UACGUAGGGUGCGAGCGUUGUCCGGAAUUACUGGGCGUAAAGAGCUCGUAGGUGGUUUGUCGCGUUGUUCGUGAAAACCUGAGGCUUAACCUUGGGCGUGCGGGCGAUACGGGCAGACUGGAGUACUGCAGGGGAGACUGGAAUUCCUGGUGUAGCGGUGGAAUGCGCAGAUAUCAGGAGGAACACCGGUGGCGAAGGCGGAUCUCUGGGCCUUACCUGACGCUGAGGAGCGAAAGCAUGGGGAGCAAACAGG
rnacentral:rRNA from 1 species